rnacentral:miRNA from 1 species
CAGAACCAGAAUGAGUAGCUC